rfam:Canis lupus familiaris chromosome X, whole genome shotgun sequence.
UUAUGUAGUACCCUACUCCAGAGAGUGGCAAUCAUUUGUAAUUAUAUGUGAUUGACACCUCUGUGAGUGGAGUAAUGCAUGA